rnacentral:rRNA from 1 species
AACGAACGCUGGCGGCAUGCCUAACACAUGCAAGUCGAACGAGACCUUCGGGUCUAGUGGCGCACGGGUGCGUAACGCGUGGGAACCUGCCCUUAGGUUCGGAAUAACUCCCCGAAAGGGGUGCUAAUACCGGAUAAUGUCUUCGGACCAAAGAUUUAUCGCCUUUGGAUGGGCCCGCGUUGGAUUAGCUAGUUGGUAGGGUAAAAGCCUACCAAGGCGACGAUCCAUAGCUGGUCUGAGAGGAUGAUCAGCCACACUGGGACUGAGACACGGACCAGAAUCCUACGGGAGGGAGGAGUGGGGAAUAAUGGAAAAUGGGGGAAAGCCUGAUACAGCCAUGCCGGGUGAGUGGUGAAGGCCUUAGGGUUGUAAAGCUCUUUUACCCGGGGUGAUAAUGACAGUACCGGGAGAAUAAGCUCCGGCUAACUCCGUG